CGAAUUUUCAAAUAGUGACUAGUGUAUCCUCUUCAUUUUUGAGUGUUAAACUUAAAAGCUCGACAUCGGCUACGAAAAUCAUACUAUUCGGUUAAAUGUCUUAUAUGUACUUUGCGAUGGUAUAGUUUGGAUUUGUUAAAGGUGAACUUGAAAUGUUUUUUUCCAUCAGCAUUUUUUUCCAUCAACCUACGUUUAAUAGGCAAAGUUUUAAGACUAUGUGCACACGGUAACGUUUUCGAGCGUUUUCAGCUGUAACGUUUUCAAAGAGUGUUGUUUUCAAGCCGUGUCCACACGAAAACGGAUGAAAACGUCAUCUUAUAACGAAAACGUUCUCAAUGCUAAAAACGUUUUCGGACAAGCGUUUUCUCGUUGAAACGCUAAAAAUCCAAGAUGGCGGCUUAAAAUCAAAAUGUUAUAUUUUUGUUUCCUGGAAGCUUAGAUCUUUCAUUGGAUCAUUAAUUCUUAAGUUAAAAACUUUCGCAACAAAUAAAACAAAAUGUAUAGCCUUUCAAAUGUAUAAUGAUUUAUGAACGAUUUAAAAUGCGGUUUGCUUUCGAAGAAGCGACAGACUUCGUAUCGGUGAUGCUAAACAGUACAUAUAAAACUGUUUACUUUAUGAUAAUGAGCAGAGAACAUUUUAAGAAACUCGUUGACAAGUAUUGACUUUAUCUGGUGGAAAAUGAAUGGUGAUAACAAGCCGCUAGAGAUGGAAUUUUUAUCGAGACAAACAUUUGCAUCUCCUGAAAACGUUUCCGUGUGGACAGAGCGUCAAACUGACAAAAUUGGAAACGACGUUUUAGAAACGCUCGGAAACGUUACCGUGUGCACAUAGUCUAAAUCGUCAAAUUUUCAUCUAUAAAUCAGAAACGUCUGUUUCUUGUAACAGAAAAUCCAUGAAACAAAUUUUGUUGCACAUUUUCAGGUUUUGGCAGGCCGUCUAAAAAGCGUAAUGAAUUAUCGUUGAUACAUAUAAAAGACAUAAAAUACCUUCUCCUUCUGUUUCUUUUCUUCAUCAAUCUGUUCUUCAAAAACUGCUUCAUCACUACUGUCACUGUUGUGGGAAUCCUCGAGGUUUAACCUAGUAUUUAUUUAAUGUUUCAAGUGAACAUCGGAUAUUUUGAAUGAAGGAUUUUGAUUUUUUCUUUUUUUUAUUUAUUUUUUUUUUCUUCUACACUCGAUGUAACAGUUCUGUUGAUGGAAAUUCGAGUGUGAAUUUUAUUUAUACAUUUGUUGGACCUAACCAGGAGCACAGAAUAAAAAGGUACAGCAGAAGUGUAACUUGAGUCGGUUCCUUUAUUGUUUUACGUCCACGAAAAUUUUAACUAGCUCACGCCAUCCUGGCUAGUACAACCGGAAGUUUUUAUCAGGUUUUGGUAGGUACAAAGUGCCGGUUGUACUAGCCAGGAUGGCGUGAUUCAUGACGAAUCGCUUGUAAAAACGCGGACAAAUACUUGCUUGAGUUACACUUCUGCUGUACCUUCUUAUUCUGUGCCAGGAGCAUGCAGGUAUGUAAAUUAGGGAUGAGCCGAUUGCUAGAAAGUGCUGAUUAGCCGAUUCGAUUACUCAGUGGCCGACAAUACCAAAUAAUCCGCCAAUUACAAUGCAGUUGUUUUGAUGAACGCAAGCUGUUGCAUCAGGUACUUGGAUUAAGGAAAGAUCCAUGCAAGUGGUAUCUUCAACUGCUACUCUUACGAAAAAGUCCUAUAAGAAUGCACAGGGUAGCUCGCACCUAUCACACCAUUAAUACAGGGUGAGAUGGAGGGAGUCCAAACUUUUCGCUUUAUUUUGGAUACGACCAGUGGUGCCUAAAUUACUUUAAUUUGUACUCGAGCAAAAGUUGAAGUAAUUAACAAUAAGACGACUUGAGUAAGAGGAAAAAGGACUGGAGGCAAAACCUACUGAAGUAAAAAGUACAAAGUAUCCUUAAAAAAUACUUAAAAGUAAAA
rnacentral:lncRNA from 1 species